AAUAGAUACCCCGGUAGUCCACGCCGUAAACGAUGGGCGCUAGGUGUGGGAGGUGUCGACUCCUUCCGUGCCGAAGCUAACGCAUUAAGCGCCCCGCCUGGGGAGUACGGCCGCAAGGCUGAAACUCAAAGGAAUUGACGGGGGCCCGCACAAGCGGUGGAGCAUGUGGUUUAAUUCGAAGCAACGCGAAGAACCUUACCAGGUCUUGACAUCCUCUGAUCUCCCUGGAGACAGGGCCUUCCCCUUCGGGGGACAGAGUGACAGGUGGUGCAUGGUUGUCGUCAGCUCGUGUCGUGAGAUGUUGGGUUAAGUCCCGCAACGAGCGCAACCCUUGACCUUAGUUGCCAGCAUUCAGUUGGGCACUCUAAGGUGACUGCCGGUGACAAACCGGAGGAAGGUGGGGAUGACGUCAAAUCAUCAUGCCCCUUAUGACCUGGGCUACACACGUGCUACAAUGGAUGGUACAAAGGGCUGCGAGACCGCGAGGUUAAGCCAAUCCCAGAAAACCAUUCCCAGUUCGGAUUGCAGGCUGCAACCCGCC
rnacentral:rRNA from 1 species